rnacentral:rRNA from 1 species
GGAUUGGUAAGUCAGGGGUGAAAUCCCACAGCUCAACUGUGGAACUGCCUUUGAUACUGUCAGUCUAGAGUAUAGUUGAAGUUGGCGGAAUGUGUCAUGUAGCGGUGAAAUGCUUAGAUAUGACACAGAACACCGAUCGCGAAGGCAGCUAGCUAAGCUAUAACUGACGCUCAUGCACGAAAGCGUGGGGAUCAAACAGGAUUAGAUACCCUGGUAGUCCACGCUGUAAACGAUGAUUACUCGAUGUUGGCGAUACACAGUCAGCGUCUGAGCGAAAGCAAUAAGUAAUCCACCUGGGGAGUACGAUCGCAAGAUUGAAACUCAAAGGAAUUGACGGGGGCCCGCACAAGCGGAGGAGCAUGUGGUUUAAUUCGAUGAUACGCGAGGAACCUUACCUGGGCUCGAACGUAAGAUGACUGUAGGUGAAAGCUUACAUCUCUUCGGAGCAUUUUACGAGGUGCUGCAUGGUUGUCGUCAGCUCGUGCCGUGAGGUGUCGGGUUAAGUCCCAUAACGAGCGCAACCCCUACCUUUAGUUGCUAUCAGGUCAUGCUGGGGACUCUAAAGGAACUGCCUACGCAAGUAGUGAGGAAGGCGGGGAUGACGUCAAAUCAGCACGGCCCUUACGUCCAGGGCUACACACGUGCUACAAUGGCCGAUACAGAGGGCAGCUACCUGGUGACAGGAUGCAAAUCUCCAAAGUCGGUCUCAGUUCGGGUCGGAGUCUGCAACCCGACUCCGUGAAGUUGGAUUCGCUAGUAAUCGCGCAUCAGCCAUGGCGCGGUGAAUACGUUCCCGGGCCUUGUACACACCGCCCGUCAAGCCAUGGAAGCUGGGGGGACCUAAAGUCGAUAACCGCAAGGAGUCGCCUAGGGUAAAACCAGUGACUGGGGCUAAGUCGUAACAAGGUAGCCG